rnacentral:rRNA from 1 species
AGAGCGAACGCUGGCGGCAGGCCUAACACAUGCAAGUCGAGCGCCCCGCAAGGGGAGCGGCAGACGGGAGAGUAACACGUGGGAACGUACCCUUCAGUACGGAACAACCAAGGGAAACUUUGGCUAAUACCGUAUACGUCCGUAAGGAGAAAGAUUUAUCGCUGAAGGAUCGGCCCGCGUCUGAUUAGCUUGUUGGUGAGGUAACGGCUCACCAAGGCUACGAUCAGUAGCUGGUCUGAGAGGAUGAUCAGCCUCACUGGGACUGAGACACGGCCCAGACUCCUACGGGAGGCAGCAGUGGGGAUAUUGGACAAUGGGCGCAAGCCUGAUCCAGCCAUGCCGCGUGGGUGAUGAAGGCCCUAGGGUUGUAAAGCCCUUUCGGCGGGAAGAUAAUGACGGUACCCGCAGAAGAAGCCCCGGCUAACUUCGUGCCAGCAGCCGC